rnacentral:rRNA from 1 species
GACGAACGCUGGCGGCGUGCCUAAUACAUGCAAGUAGAACGCUGAAGGAAGGAGCUUGCUCUUUCUGGAUGAGUUGCGAACGGGUGAGUAACGCGUAGGUAACCUGCCUGGUAGCGGGGGAUAACUAUUGGAAACGAUAGCUAAUACCGCAUAAAAUUGAUUAUUGCAUGAUAGUCAAUUAAAAGGUGCAACUGCACCACUACCAGAUGGACCUGCGUUGUAUUAGCUAGUUGGUGGGGUAACGGCUCACCAAGGCGACGAUACAUAGCCGACCUGAGAGGGUGAUCGGCCACACUGGGACUGAGACACGGCCCAGACUCCUACGGGAGGCAGCAGUAGGGAAUCUUCGGCAAUGGACGGAAGUCUGACCGAGCAACGCCGCGUGAGUGAAGAAGGGUUUCGGAUCGUAAAGCUCUGUUGUAAGAGAAGAACGAGUGUGAGAGUGGAAAGUUCACACUGUGACGGUAUCUUGCCAGAAAGGGACGGCUAACUACGUG